CCUACGGGAGGCAGCAGUGGGGAAUAUUGCACAAUGGGGGAAACCCUGAUGCAGCGACGCCGCGUGAGUGAAGAAGUAUUUCGGUAUGUAAAGCUCUAUCAGCAGGGGAGAGAAUGACGGUACCUGAGUAAGAAGCCCCGGCUAACUACGUGCCAGCAGCCGCGGUAAUACGUAGGGGGCAAGCGUUAUCCGGAUGUACUGGGUGUAAAGGGAGCGUAGACGGCGAAGAAAGUCUGAAGUGAAAGCCCGGGGCUCAACCGCGGAACUGCUUUGGAAACUUUUUUGCUGGAGUACCGGAGAGGUAAGCGGAAUUCCUAGUGUAGCGGUGAAAUGCGUAGAUAUUAGGAGGAACACCAGUGGCGAAGGCGGCUUACUGGACGGUAACUGACGUUGAGGCUCGAAAGUGUGGGUAUCAAACAGGAUUAGAUACCCUUGUAGUC
rnacentral:rRNA from 1 species